CAACAUCUCAUCAUGCCUUCCCCUUGCGAGCCUUGCAAAGAUUCCUGCCCGGAAGGUGCAUGCAAAGACAACUGCGGCUGCAAGGACAAAGGCUGCAACGACUGUUCUUCUAAAGGUGGUUGCUGCUAAAGAUGGACGAAGCCCGACAGCGCCAGCGCAGGCGCCGGCCGCUCGGCGCGCGCGUCGCGUCCGCGCUGGAGAGCUGCUUCCCAGUCGCCUUCUCCGUCACUUUCUUCCUCACUAUAGUGCUGUUCCAUUGUUGUCUCUUGUGAUUCAAUAAAUUCCUUAUACAUUCAAA